rnacentral:rRNA from 1 species
AGCGGCGGAUGGGUGAGUAACACGUGGGGAACCUGCCCCUAAGUCUGGGAUACCAUUUGGAAACAGGUGCUAAUACCGGAUAAUAAAGCAGAUCGCAUGAUCAGCUUUUGAAAGGCGGCGUAAGCUGUCGCUAAGGGAUGGCCCCGCGGUGCAUUAGCUAGUUGGUAAGGUAACGGCUUACCAAGGCGACGAUGCAUAGCCGAGUUGAGAGACUGAUCGGCCACAUUGGGACUGAGACACGGCCCAAACUCCUACGGGAGGCAGCAGUAGGGAAUCUUCCACAAUGGACGCAAGUCUGAUGGAGCAACGCCGCGUGAGUGAAGAAGGUUUUCGGAUCGUAAAGCUCUGUUGUUGGUGAAGAAGGAUAGAGGUAGUAACUGGCCUUUAUUUGACGGUAAUCAACCAGAAAGUCACGGCUAACUACGUGCCAGCAGCCGCGGUAAUACGUAGGUGGCAAGCGUUGUCCGGAUUUAUUGGGCGUAAAGCGAGCGCAGGCGGAAAAAUAAGUCUAAUGUGAAAGCCCUCGGCUUAACCGAGGAACUGCAUCGGAAACUGUUUUUCUUGAGUGCAGAAGAGGAGAGUGGAACUCCAUGUGUAGCGGUGGAAUGCGUAGAUAUAUGGAAGAACACCAGUGGCGAAGGCGGCUCUCUGGUCUGCAACUGACGCUGAGGCUCGAAAGCAUGGGUAGCGAACAGGAUUAGAUACCCUGGUAGUCCAUGCCGUAGACGAUGAGUGCUAAGUGU